AUCUAUAAAGAAGUAACCACGGUACAUAAUGUUUCCGUUAUAAAAUAUGUGAGUAUUUCAUUACUUGUUCUUUUUUUGUCUUUUUCAUGUGGACCUUUUUAGAAUUGCGUUCAUUCAAUACAUAAAGGACCAACUGAAGAUCAAUAUGAGAGUUGUUCCGAAAUAGGGUGCAUUCAAUCAUAUUAUUAUCCAAAAGAGAGAAUAAAUGCGGAAUUGAGGAAAACACCCCAUUUAAAUAUCACCCACAGUCUAAAGUCACAAUAUUAUUUUAACGAAGCUCGUCACACUCCACCAGAAGGUGAUCCCCUGUGUCCUGUUCAUAAAAAAACGCAUAAACCAGCCAUUGCAAAGAACAUAUUUGGCGAGUGGAAAUAUAUAGUAAACACAAACCUGUAUAAUCAAACAUAUACAUUAACAACAUGCAAACAUACAGUGGGCACCCACAGCCUAGUUGGAUUCAAUUACAAGUGUGUACAAUCGUAUAUAGAAUUAGUUUUUUUAACCUAUUCCGACUGUAAGUUGGAGUAUGAUAUUUUUAAAAUGCCAGCAUCCUGUGAUUGUGAGAAAAUUGAUUAACCAAGAAACAUGUUAAACAUUUAUUCUUUAUAUUUUAAAAUUAAUAGUUAAUAUUAAUUUAUACGAGUUUUGAACUGACAGUAAAUUAAUUGUAUUGAUAAAAAUGAUAAUAUAAUAACAUAAUCUUUAUUUAAACUUGUAAAUAACUCUCAUGUGAUUUAUUAUCAUUUGAACAUUAACACGAAUCCAGAAAAAAUUAUUAAUAUAUAGUCAAUUAGUAUUUUGUAAAUAUUUAUGCAUUAUCAUCGUCAACAAGUCUCAAAAGUAUGUUACGAUCAAAAUGGAAUAAGUAUUCACAUAUAAAAUUAACGAAAAUAACAAAAUUUUCUUUCAACAAUAUGUGGCCUGCUGAUUUUAUUGAAUUAUUAUACAAUAUAUAUUAUAUAAAAUUAUUGUACAAUUCGUGAAAUAAAUAGUAGUUAUAACUUUAAAUUAGUAAAAAAUACAUAAAUUAAAUAAAAUCUAGUAUGAAUAUUUGUAAAGGUGAAGGCUUUCGUGACCAUUGUUUAAAUACCUAUAUUUGUUCUGGUUUGUAGACGAAGACCUACGUUUAUUGGAAUUAUUUAAUAACGUUUCGCUGGCAUG